rnacentral:rRNA from 1 species
UUGGGAAUAUUGCGCAAUGGAGGAAACUCUGACGCAGUGACGCCGCGUGCAGGAAGAAGGUUUUCGGAUUGUAAACUGCUUUAGACAGGGAAGAAAAAGACAGUACCUGUAGAAUAAGCUCCGGCUAACUACGUGCCAGCAGCCGCGGUAAUACGUAGGGAGCAAGCGUUAUCCGGAUUUAUUGGGUGUAAAGGGUGCGUAGACGGGAAAACAAGUUAGUUGUGAAAUCCCUCGGCUUAACUGAGGAACUGCAACUAAAACUAUUUUUCUUGAGUGCUGGAGAGGAAAGUGGAAUUCCUAGUGUAGCGGUGAAAUGCGUAGAUAUUAGGAGGAACACCAGUGGUGAAGGCGACUUUCUGGACAGUAACUGACGUUGAGGCACGAAAGUGUGGGGAGCAAACAGGAUUAGAUACC